rnacentral:rRNA from 1 species
UGGGGAAUUUUGGACAAUGGGCGAAAGCCUGAUCCAGCCAUGCCGCGUGCAGGAUGAAGGCCUUCGGGUUGUAAACUGCUUUUGUACGGAACGAAAAGACUCUGGUUAAUACCUGGGGUCCAUGACGGUACCGUAAGAAUAAGCACCGGCUAACUACGUGCCAGCAGCCGCGGUAAUACGUAGGGUGCAAGCGUUAAUCGGAAUUACUGGGCGUAAAGCGUGCGCAGGUGGUUAUAUAAGACAGAUGUGAAAUCCCCGGGCUCAACCUGGGAACUGCAUUUGUGACUGUAUAGCUGGAGUACGGCAGAGGGGGAUGGAAUUUCCGCGUGUAGCAGUGAAAUGCGUAGAUAUGCGGAGGAACACCGAUGGCGAAGGCAAUCCCCUGGGCCUGUACUGACGCUCAUGCACGAAAGCGUGGGGAGCAAACAGGAUUAGAUACCCUGGUAGUCCACGCCCUAAACGAUGUCAACUGGGUUGUUGGGCCUUCACUGACUCAGUAACGAAGCUAACGCGUGAAGUUGACCGCCUGGGGAGUACGGCCGCAAGGUUGAAACUCAAAUGAAUUGACGGGGGUCAUA